rnacentral:piRNA from 1 species
UCCAAUGGGUGUCCUCAGUGUGGGAAA